rnacentral:rRNA from 1 species
ACUACGGGUGGCAGCAGUGGGGAAUAUUGCACAAUGGGCGCAAGCCUGAUGCAGCCAUGCCGCGUGUGUGAAGAAGGCCUUCGGGUUGUAAAGCACUUUCAGCGGGGAGGAAGGCGGUGAGGUUAAUAACCUCAUCGAUUGACGUUACCCGCAGAAGAAGCACCGGCUAACUCCGUGCCAGCAGCCGCGGUAAUACGGAGGGUGCAAGCGUUAAUCGGAAUUACUGGGCGUAAAGCGCACGCAGGCGGUCUGUCAAGUCGGAUGUGAAAUCCCCGGGCUCAACCUGGGAACUGCAUUCGAAAAUGGCAGGCUAGAGUCUUGUAGAGGGGGGUAGAAUUCCAGGUGUAGCGGUGAAAUGCGUAGAGAUCUGGAGGAAUACCGGUGGCGAAGGCGGCCCCCUGGACAAAGACUGACGCUCAGGUGCGAAAGCGUGGGGAGCAAACAGGAUUAGAUACCCGAGUAGUC